GGGUCAGGUCAGCGGAAGUUGAAUGUUGUCCCACCAGAAGCUGAAGGAUAUACAGGAUCCUACAUCAUUAAAACGGCAGGAGGAAAGGGCUGUCUGUAUAUCCUGCCAUUACAGAACAGUCUAAAUAUCUCCCCUUUACCCUAUUCAUCACAAGAAUUUGAAAAAAUGCCAAAAGCACGAUGUGCUAAAUGCUUUACCGACAUGCCAAUUCAACUGCUGGCUAUGCAUGUUCAGGAGUGUGAGACAGGGAUAUGCAUUGAUAGCAGUGAUUGUGAAUCGGACACCAAAGACCCUGACACUGAAGUUCUAUCAACAUCCACUAAAUUGGAUACAUUUAGUGGCAAUUUCGAGGAUGAAUUGGAUACUGUGAAUUAAUUUGUGUCAGUGAUGGAUCCAAUGGUAUCUUGUCCAGUGUGUUCUGGAAUGUAUUCACAAGACUACAUUGAAGUACACGCGAGCACCUGUGGGGAAAGAUGUGAAAAUAGACCAAACAUGGAUUUGGACAUUACUGUGCAAAAGCCAGACAAGCAAAGCAGCAUUACAGAAGCAAUCCACAAACUCAAAGAAGCAAUAGAUCCUACAACUAUUUUCAGUGUCUGCGUCACAAGGGAGGACAUGUUUAAUCGAGGCUUGAUGCAAUGGAAACGUCAGAAGAAGUCUUCUCCAAAGAAUCCCCUCAGAGUAACAUUCAUUGGAGAGCCUGGGAUAGACAGUGGUGCCCUUAUGAAAGAAUUCUUGACAGAAAUGAUGGCUGGGAUUGAGGCAAAAUUCUUUGAGGGAGGCAAUUCUGGGAAAAAUCUGAAGUAUUCUACCACAGAUUUUCAGAACGACAAUUAUAGGACAAUUGGUGAAAUCAUGGCUGUAAGCAUUACACAAGAUGGCCCUCCCCCUAACUUUUUUCAGGAGUGGAUCUACAAUUUCAUCUCUUCUGGGGACAUUGAUAAAGAUCAGUUGUCAAAGGCUACAGUUACAGAUGCAGAUCUGCUAGACCUCAUCGAAAAGAUUGAGACAGCGGACGCUACAGCUCUUCUUGACCUUUUAGAAAGAAUCCUCGGAUGUGGGUACACUGGACCUCUAACAUGUGAAAGAAAGGAGGACAUUCUAAGUGCUGUUGUCCUACAUUCAUCUUUACAAAUACUUCCAAUGCAAC
rnacentral:lncRNA from 1 species